AAUAUGAUGUAUUUUUUAAGUACUUAAUGAUUUUUAACAUUCUUACCUCUAACUCAAAUGAAUUUAAUAAUUUAGUACUCUGGUCAUCAAUUGUUAUGUAGUUGGUAUAAUUAUUGUCUUUGCCAAAUACUCUGGAAUUUUCAAUAACAGCAGCCGUCAGUAUACAUUCAUCUUCUUUAACAAUAUCACUCAAACUCAACAAACUGUUUUCAUUUGCACUUUCUUCAGUGUUGCGGUUAGUUGUGAAUACUGAUGUAGAGUGUUUGCCCAGUAUGUACCAUCUUAAUCUAAGUCAUUCAAUAAUCUUCUUAAGGACAAGUUUGUCAUUAAAAUACCUUUUUGAAAUUGCAUUAAGGAUUUUUUUCCAUGUACCCGCAUUGACAAAAUAAACUUAUCCAUUCUAUCCAAUAAAUUGUUUUGAUCUACAAUACUCAUGCCAUAUGCCAUAGAGUUAUCUCCAACUAUAUUUUGGCUGUUAAUUCAAUAGUUUGAAUUUGUUAUUGAAUCCAUAAUAUUCCAUUACUUUUGAUACUGUUCUGGAGAAAAGUUGGGCUGCUGUCUUAACUUUUUGCCGCUGUGUACCACUAACAUUUAUAUGAAAAUCACUAACUUUAAAUUUAAAUUUCAUAUCAUUUUCACCUUUAUCUUGGAUUUUCAAUAGUUCUUCUAUUAAGAAUUUCCCUAUAUACUUAUCACCUUUGCAAAAAAAAAAAAAAUCAACUUAUACUCAAUGUUUUAAUAUUUUUAAGUUAAUCCAUACCAUUGUUAUUUUUCAGAAGGAAGACAUGGUCAAGAAAGUUGUUUCUAAUAAGUUUUAACAAAUGCGGGGCAUCAGCAAAAACAUGCAUUUUCCUAUCAGGCAUUAGAGGAUGAUUAAACGAGCUAUUUGUAUGAGAAACAUUCAUAGACUUCCAUAAACCCAUGUUAGUUGGACCCAUAUCACUUGUCACAGAUACGGCAGUAUAUCCAAUGCUAUAUAAGUUGGUGAUAAUCUCCAAUAAUAUGUCACUUAUCAUCGGUGUGUCAUAAUUAUAAUAAACAACUUGUUUCCAUGAUUUAAUAAUACCCCUGGCCAUUACUACUUGAACCGUUUUGUGUGGUCCAAUAACUUGCUCAGAUAUUUUAUCAUAACAGAUAUCAUGAGAUGUGUACACUUCAUCAAAUGAUAAACUUACUAGUUUUUCAUUUUCAUACAUAGAAAUGCCUAUAGUUUAAUUAAUAUUUUAUUGGACGAUUAAGUAGUGAAAUACUUAAGUUUUUAUUAGUAAUAGCCAGUAGAUAUUGGAUUAGUUUACUUACUUUUAGAUUUCAUUAAACCUAACACACCCAUUAAAACCCCUGGUUGAAUUGGAAAUUUUUGAGCCCAAGUUCGCAAAGUAGAUAGACCUAAAAUAAAUUUAAAUUAUGAUCAUAAUGGCAGUUGUAUAAGAAAUACUUCACAAACCUGGUAAUGGAUACUUCAAAGAUUCUCUUAAGUAUCUAUAAGCCUUUGGUGAUAUACUUCUUAAAGAAAUUGCUCUUGUAAUGUCAUCUAUCCCCCAUUUUAAUAUUUUAUUUCCAGGACUUAAGAAAUAAUUUAUUUGGGUGUGUGUAAAAAUAUGUGAAAAUAAAUUAGAAACUUUUUCUUUAAAAUUCAUUUUUAAUAUUUCAUUUUCUUCCUGUACUGCAGUUAAGCACUUUUUAGUUUCCUCAAGUUCUUUUUCAAUACUAAAAUAAAUGUUUUGAAUUAUAAAUAGAAAUUCCUUCAAGUAUAUACAGGUAUACAACACAGUAAGACACAUAAUAUUAGAACUUGGAAUACUUGCAUCUGCAUUAAAUAAAUUUUUAUGUUACCUCUUAUCGUUAUCAAUUAUAUUUAUGGAUUCAUUUGAUUUAAAGCUGACCAUG